GAUGAACGCUGGCGGCGUGCCUAAUACAUGCAAGUCGAGCGAACGGACGAGAAGCUUGCUUCUCUGAUGUUAGCGGCGGACGGGUGAGUAACACGUGGAUAACCUACCUAUAAGACUGGGAUAACUUCGGGAAACCGGAGCUAAUACCGGAUAAUAUUUUGAACCGCAUGGUUCAAAAGUGAAAGACGGUCUUGCUGUCACUUAUAGAUGGAUCCGCGCUGCAUUAGCUAGUUGGUAAGGUAACGGCUUACCAAGGCAACGAUGCAUAGCCGACCUGAGAGGGUGAUCGGCCACACUGGAACUGAGACACGGGCCAGACUCCUACGGGGGGCAGCAGUGGGGAAUCUUCCGCAAUGGGCGAAAGCCUGACGGAGCAACGCCGGGUGAGUGGUGAAGGUCUUCGGAUCGUAAAACUCUGUUAUUAGGGAAAAACAUAUGUGUAAGUAACUGUGCACAUCUUGGCGGUACCUAAUCAGAAAGCCCCGGCUAACUACGU
rnacentral:rRNA from 1 species